rnacentral:rRNA from 1 species
UACAGAGGUGGCAAGCGUUGUUCGGAAUUACUGGGCGUAAAGCGCGUGUAGGCGGCUCUUCAAGUCAGGCGUGAAAGCCCCGGGCUCAACUCGGGAACUGCGCUUGAUACUGUCGAGCUAGAGUGUGGAAGGGGCGAUUGGAAUUCCGUGUGUAGCGGUGAAAUGCGUAGAUAUACGGAGGAACACCAGAGGCGAAGGCGGAUCGCUGGGCCAACACUGACGCUGAGACGCGAAAGCCAGGGUAGCAAACGGG